GAAACGACUGCUAAGACUGGAUAGGAAACAAAAAGGCAUCUUUUUGUUUUUAAAAGACCUUCUUAUGAAGGUAUGCUUAAAGAGGGGCUUGCGCCACAUUAGUUAGUUGGUAGGGUAAAAGCCUACCAAGACGAUGAUGUGUAGCUGGACUGAGAGGUUGAACAGCCACAUUGGGACUGAGACACGGCCCAAACUCCUACGGGAGGCAGCAGUAGGGAAUUUUCGGCAAUGGAGGAAACUCUGACCGAGCAACGCCGCGUGAACGAUGAAGUAUUUCGGUAUGUAAAGUUCUUUUAUUGAAGAAGAAAAAGUAGUGGAAAAACUAUAUUGACGUUAUUCAAUGAAUAAGCCCCGGCUAACUAUGUGCCAGCAGCCGCGGUAAGACAUAGGGGGCGAGCGUUAUCCGGAAUUAUUGGGCGUAAAGGGUGCGUAGGCUGUUAGAUAAGUCUAUAAUUUAAUUUCAGUGCUUAACGCUGUCUUGUUAUAGAAACUGUCUUGACUAGAGUGAGAUAGAGGCAAGCGGAAUUCCAUGUGUAGCGGUAAAAUGUGUAAAUAUAUGGAGGAACACCAGAAGCGUAGGCGGCUUGCUGGGUCUUUACUGACGCUGAGGCACGAAAGCGUGGGUAGCAAACAGGAUUAGAUACCCUGGUAGUCCACGCCGUAAACGAUGAGUACUAAGUGUCGGGGUAAAACUCGGUACUGAAGUUAACACAUUAAGUACUCCGCCUGAGUAGUACGUACGCAAGUAUGAAACUUAAAGGAAUUGACGGGACUCCGCACAAGCGGUGGAUCAUGUUGUUUAAUUCGAAGAUACACGAAAAAUCUUACCAGGUCUUGACAUACUCUGCAAAGCUAUAGAAAUAUAGUGGAGGUUAUCAGGGAUACAGGUGGUGCAUGGUUGUCGUCAGUUCGUGUCGUGAGAUGUUAGGUUAAGUCCUAAAACGAGCGCAACCCUUGUCGUUAAUUGCCAGCACGUAAUGGUGGGGACUUUAGCGAGACUGCCAAUUAAACAUUGGAGGAAGGUGAGGAUUACGUCAAAUCAUCAUGCCCCUUAUGAUCUGGGCUACAAACGUGAUACAAUGGCUGUGACAAAGAGUAGCUGAAACGCGAGUUUUUAGCCAAUCUCAAAAAAGCAGUCUCAGUUCGGAUUGAAGUCUGUAACUCGACUUCAUGAAGUUGGAAUCGCUAGUAAUCGCGAAUCAGCAUGUCGCGGUGAAUACGUUCACGGGGUUUGUACACACCGCCCGUCA
rnacentral:rRNA from 2 species